AUGGCACAAUUAGCGUGUAUUGUAAGACUCUAAUGAAGUCCUUUAAGUCUCUCAAAUCACAGGUGCAAGCAGUGCGCACGGACACAGGACGACAAACCAAUUCACCAAAUCCAACCAGGAGAAUACGUAUUGGUCAAGAGUUUUUAAAAGAAAGAAACCAUAUAAAGCUUUUCCCAAUUCCAAGGAAAUCAACAAGUUAGUCCUCCAACAGGCACAAUAAUCCUAGCUGACUAACCUACGUGGGAAAGCCGAGAAAGGCCAAGAGGCCACUCGUGAAACCAUGCAGCAAAAUA